UUCUCUAAAUGGGACAUCGGGAACUUAAAUGGGAGGUGUUGGAUUUACCUGGGACUUUAAAAUGGGGCGGGGCUGCCAGUGACAGGUGACCAUUCAAUUGACGUUUUUUAAAAAAACGCAUCGCACUUUGUUUCAGUCGGAAAUCACUCACUUCGUCGUCAGCAUAACCCCAAUGCCUUUGGGACCGCCUACCUCCACGAGUCAUGAAAGAAGGAACCGAUAAAAGAUGCAUCCAGCAGCAAGCACUUGCCGCCCUCGGGCUGCCCGCAAUUCACCUUGUCUGCCAUUUAUCAAGCCUUCCAUUCCGUGGCAGAGGAGGGCCUUCCCUUCAGUGUACACACCUGCUGCCAAUUUGGUCAUCAAGUUAGCUAAGUAGCGAAGGACUGCCAAGAUCCCUUGUCUGUCGGAUUAUUGACCUUGUUUGCUUCUCUGGCUCAAGUGUUAUUUUCUAGACUUCUCGAACUAGUCAUUGAUGUUUUUUGCUCUCUAGUCUCUCACCUUGUAUUCAUAUUUUUUGUUGUUUGAUCUUGCUCUGUUUUUGUUUCGUGCAAUUGCACUCUAGCCAUUUUGUUUGUAUACUCGAAUGAACAAUUUCCCUGCCUUUGCAAACACUUUUUCUUGAAGUAUGUUUUUUCCUGAUUCUUGUUGACCAACAAUUUCUGUUCCUACAUUGUCGGUAGUUUUUGCAUUUUUGUUAUUAAAUAAAUAUUUUUUUGUACGGA